CACAUACACUAGUUGUUACCAGGCUAGUGGCAGCAAGGAAUUAGCUUCUCCAGGAGGAGAGGCUGUGCCCCUUCUCAUAGGGGAAGCAGACAAGCCCAAGCCCGAGCCCUGGCUAGGGGAAGGACUGACACCCUGACCCAGUGAGGAGAUUUGCAUCCAGGGCUGGAUUUACACUUUAUGCACCCCUAGGCACUGCAUCUUCAGUGCCUCACCCGGCCUACAGUUGACCUUCAUGUUGUACACAGUUUUAGAGAGGUGGACCCCAUCUCUGCAUAGUAGUCCUUCUGGAACAGCGUCCCAUGGUCAAGAAAGCUGAAACCCUCCUGGAGACACCAUCCUCUAGCAGCUGCCAGAGUCCUGGACGCUUGGACCUAGGACCUCUGAAAAUAACAUUUCUGCUGAACAACUCCCU